UACGUAGGGCGCAAGCGUUGUCCGGAAUUAUUGGGCGUAAAGAGCUCGUAGGCGGCUUGUCGCGUCGGCUGUGAAAACCCGGGGCUCAACCCCGGGCCUGCAGUCGAUACGGGCAGGCUAGAGUCCGGUAGGGGAGACUGGAAUUCCUGGUGUAGCGGUGAAAUGCGCAGAUAUCAGGAGGAACACCGGUGGCGAAGGCGGGUCUCUGGGCCGGAACUGACGCUAAGGAGCGAAAGCGUGGGGAGCGAACAGG
rnacentral:rRNA from 1 species